rnacentral:misc_RNA from 1 species
UUUUUUUUUUUUUUUUUUUUAGGUAGAAUCCCUUAGUGACAAGGUUGAUAUUUCUUUGACAACAUGCUUCGAACUCUGAUUCCCUCCUCUACUCCUACACCACCACAUUUCAUGGCUUCAUUGCAUUUAUUGACACUGAACAGGCCAACUCCCUUAAAAGAGCUAGGUGUGGUUUAUGGCAAUUACAAACAAAUAGUGAAAGUAUGAUUUUCUCCUGACAUGUACACCUCCUCUAUAGUUCAGAAAUCAUGUGUGGAUGUUCUGGGAUUGAACAUUAGGCAUCAUGCUCACAAGAUGAUUGUCAAAAAUGGGUCACAUACAUUAGCUUAUGCCGUGGCACCGGCUGCAGAAUAUUUCAACCAUCCGAUAACACUUGUAUUACAUGUUUUAAAGUCUGUCAAGUCAGUACCUGAUACUCUCAAACUGAAAAGUAUAGGGGCUUGAUUUAACACACUUUAAGCUGGUGGACUCAAUGGCCAAAAGUAAAAAAUUUCAGGGAUAAAAUGUUAAAAUAUUGAACAGUCACAAGAACUGUUGCCUCACAAGUGGAGACCUUCAUAGAUCCAAAAGAAAGACCUCAGCCAUGCCACGUUCUCAUCAAGCACAUGCCAAAUUAUCUUUCAUACAUUAGAAUACCUUAAAUAUAGAUGCCUCAUUCUCAGAUGGGACUAGCAAAUAACUAUGAUGCAUGCCUCUUAAAUCCUUAAACAUACCUCAGCAGGGUUGUAAUCAGUUA